CUCUACCUUCUGACGAAUAACUUCAUUCCUAAUCUUAUCCAGCCUGGUGUGCCCACACAUCCACCUAAGCAUCCUCAUCUCAGCAACCUUCAUUCUUAGUUUCUAAUAAAAUUUUCCUGUUUAGAACCAAAAAAGAAAAAAGAAAAAAAAACUAGCAACUACUAAAAGUUUGGUCCGAUCGGGCAACUAACUAAAAUUUAAUGAGAAA
rnacentral:lncRNA from 1 species